UUUUAGAGAUUAUUUAAUACAUAGGUUUCUUGGUACCAAUUACUAAAGGAAUAUUAUUUACUUAUGCUGGUAUUUCACUGGUUUUUUUGCAUAUCAACUACCGAAAGAGAACGUAAUCUCACUUACAAAAAGUAGAGAGCAGAAGUGUGAAAACAAAGAAAAAAGAGUAUACAUUUUGACUUAAGAUUGCAUUGAUUAAGACGUAUGAAACUUUAGCCAAAAAAAAUAAAAAUGUUUGCUUAAGAGGAGGUAGCCUUGUCAACGACAUCACGAGCAAAGGUAGGAAGAACAAAGGAAGCAGCAUGAAUUUCACUGUUAUAGUACUUACAAAGCUUAUUCUCUUCUUCGGGAGACCACUUGCGAAGAGGCUUGCUAAGGUCGAUGGAAGCAUCCUUGGAGGCUACAACGAAGCCGAUAGAUCCAGAGGGAUAGGUGGGGAUAGUAGUGUAUGCGUAACGAACAUUGGGGAAAACUGUUUUAACGGCAGUCAAGACAUUGCUGAUGACACCCAAAUGAAUCCACAUACACUCAGCUUGAGUAGUAAUGACACCGCCUCCACGAAGAGCAUCGGAAAGAAGUUGAAAGUAAGGUUUUUGGAACAAGGCUUCGGCAGGACCGUCAGGAUCGGAAGAGUCUGUAAUAAUCACAUCAAAAGUAUUUUGAUAAUCUUGCAAAAAUUUAAAACCGUCACCAAUGUGUACCUUAACCUUGGGAUGAUUGAAACCUGCGGACAUCUCAGGAAGGUAUUGCUUGGAGACUUUAAUGACAUCUUCAUCAAUAUCGCACAAGAUAGCCUCUUCGACACAUUCGUGUUUGACCACCUCACGAAGUACACCGCCAUCACCACCACCAAUAACGAGAACUUUCUUUGGGUUGGGGUGACUGUUUAGAGCAAGAUGAGCAAUCAUUUCUUGGUAAGAAAACUCGUCGCGCUCAGUGGCUUGAAUAGCACCAUCCAAAACCAAAACAUGUCCAUAAGUUUCACUCUCAAAGACCAAAACAUCUUGAUACUUUGAUUUUCCUGCAUAUAAAACCUUUUUAACCUUCAAGGUCAUGGCUUGACCAGGCCACAUGUUGUUGAUCUCACGAAACCAACCAUCUUUAAUAAGAGGAUGAGAAAGUUCUUGAACAGACAUUUUCACUUCUAAAUAACAAUAAAGACACACAAAAGCAAGUAAGUAAGGUUGUAGUACCAAGCAAAUACAAACGUUGCAAACUUUGCUUUUAGGAAAAUUUUGUCAUGUCGCAUAUUUAAGCGUGACCGUUUUAGCGCAGCGCUUGAGUUAAAAGUAGCAUGUUAAGAUACGUUACUUUUUUUAAAAAAUGAGCUUAAUUGAUAUACUUUCGGUUGUUGCUUACAUUAUUAUCAGCGAUGCUUGGCAAUGAAAAGUAGACUUCUAUUGUUGGGAGUGGAUUUGGAACAACAAUCAUAUUUGACGAAGCUAAAACUGAUCGAGGAAACAUUUGAAUUAGUAAACAAAUGUGUUUAUACAAUAUUCCUUAGUUAAUACGAUGUCGUUUAAUAAAUCAAGAAUUGAUCAACGUAGAGGUUAU
rnacentral:lncRNA from 1 species